GGCCGUCUGGCGCAAUGGCAGCGCGUCCGCCUACGAUUCAUGUCUCGGUCAGGGGUCGAACCUGAAAGCGGGAGGUUGCAGGUUCAACCCCUGCGUCGGUCA